GGUUGGAGUGAAAGUAAAAUCUUUAGAGCAUUUUCGACAGCAAAGCAGCAAAGUGAAAAUUGUUGAAUAGUGAAAGUAGCAUCUUGAACAAUAAAAGUUUGGAAAUACCUUGUCCUCAUAUCAUGUGGAAUGGCAUUUGAUGGGUAUCCAAGGCAUUCUAGUUUUGUCAUGUGGAAUGGCAUCUAAUGGACAUCUGUAGCAUUCUGGCAUCCGAGAAAAGUUUUGCUGAUGUGGCUUUUACUCCUGUGUCUUGAUGAUGUGGCUUGACAAAUUGAGAUUGAGGGAUUCACAAGUCCAUAAACUAUUCAUCUUCUAGGUGGAGCAUAGGAUCUGAUGAAGUGCUGACUUGGUCUUCAUCUUCUUCUUUCAAUUUUGCUAAGGAUUCUAAUAAAAGCUUUUUAUAUUCAGUUUUGCAUUUAGCUGAAGCAAGUUUUGCGCUGGCUCUGAAUUUUUGCUAAAGGAACUGAGCAAUCUUGGGAUCAAUCACUGGUUGAGAUGGCAGUGCCUGGCGAGAGAUCUAUUCAAGAAUUUUUGAUUUGAUGAUCCUUUCAAGAUUAAAAUUUUACCACUAUUUUACCUUAAAUUUUCUAGCCAAUGUGUCAGAUAAGGAACGAUUUUGUAGGAAUAUAUACUCCCAAUUGACUAUCCAAGAGAGUGCGAAUCUUGAGAUGAUAUUCAAUAAUAUCGAAAAUUUUUGACCCCUCACAGGAAGGAUGGCUUGGUUUUGGAAUGUAUCAAAUCCUUCUAGAGCAGCUUCAGCUUGUGGAAGAAUGUUAGGUAGAGGGCUAAAAUAAUUAUUUUGCUUUGUUAUGUUUUACCAUCUCGGCCAUUAGAUGUUUCAGGUGGGUCAGAUUUUAAUUUUAAAUAGAGAUGCUGUUACUUGAGUAUCUCUAACCAUAAUUUUUAUUUUUUAUAAGAAAGGAUAGAUUUUUUCAAUCACCCUUUCUUUUCCAUCUUGCCAGGAAACCAUUAUUCUAUUUUUUUGCCAUAUUGACUUCUUUGGUCUGAGGUUUUUGAGAUUCAAACCAAUCAAAGAAACAAACUCGAGCCUUAAGGCUGUUCAGGAAUGAAUAAUAAUGACUUUGUAUUUUAUCCCUCAAUUUCUUAUUAUAUGUUUUUAAUAACUGCUGUCUUUUUUCUUGAUUUUUUGGAGAAUAAAAUUCUUCUUUUAGCCUCUUUUUGUCAAUUGUAUAUUCAGAUGUAAUGGUACAGAUUUCUAGAUCUUUUUGAUCCACAAUCUAUGAAUAAGUAGGAGACAUUGGAGGGGAGGUUUGGCUUUCCUUGUAACUUGGUUUGGGUAUCUUAGGUUCAGAAAAUUUUGUCUAGGUGGGUUACUUGGAGGCACAGUUGAGAGCUCCAUCCAGUCUGGACCUGUUGAACUUAAUUAAAACAUCUCCUUUUGGGUGUAUAACGAUUGUUUCUAACGAGCUCGACUAUUGUCUUAUUGGUGGAACUAACUUCUUCAGAAGCCAGUCUUCAGGUAAUAAGACCUGAUCUCAUACUAGUAUUUUUGGGAUGAAUAUACUUCCUUUACUAAGAUCUGUUUGUCCUAAGAUUCUUCAAUUUAUCGUUCCUAUGCGACCAAGCGUGUUUAAAAUUUUGUAAUAUAUUCUAAUAGAAGUUAUGGCUGGAUAUGAACCUGAGAGCAUUUUAAGAUGAUAUAAUUUGACCUCUAAUUCCAGAGAUUUUAAAAUAUUUUUACCCUUAAUUUUGAUGGUAAGGUCCAUGUUAUAAUUGAAAUAUAUUG
rnacentral:lncRNA from 1 species